AUGCCCGAAAUGUCAUUUUGCCAUGGGCUCCCCUCUGUAAAGGGGAUUUUACUCGUCAGCUGUCGACCAAUGGCAUUUCUAGGAGGAUCAUUGCGCGUGACGAAGAGCAUUAGCAGCCAGAAGAUGAUUGAGGGAAAGAGCCACGGCGGGUCAGGGUCGUGGCGGCAGGCGAGAGCGCCCAUGAGGCGGCACUUAUGGAGGGUGAGACGUGCCGUGCUGCACCCGAAGCGCCGCGCCGUGAGUUUCGGGUACGACCUCAAGAGCUACUCCCAGAACUUCGAUGACAGCCUCGUCCCUGCCCACCGCCUCUAG
rnacentral:rRNA from 1 species